UACAUUUCUGAUGUCUUCCUUCCCAGAGCCAAGGUAAAGGCUUACUCUGGGCUGGAAGCCACACUAACCUGUCCCUUUCUUGCUGUACCCAGGUUCGGGAGUAGCAGCAACACUGCAUCCUUCGGUACCCUCGCCAGUCAGAACGCACCCACUUUCGGAUCCUUGUCCCAGCAGACCUCUGGCUUCGGGACCCCGAGCAGUGGAUUCUCUGGGUUUGGAUCAGGCACAGGAGGUAAACAGCUAUGUUCUUCCCUCCCCCAAAGGAACAGUGUUCUGGCCACUCAGCCGAGGGUCUUAAAAGCUGAAGUAACAAGACAAUAUGACAUCCUCUAAGUAGACUGGCAACAACUGGCAAUUGUUGUUGUCUAGACGGUGUAGGCCCCUCCCGUGCCUUAUCUUGGUACAGUGCUCUGCAUCUUCAGAGAGCAAAUACAAGUUCUGUGUGGUCCUCACAGACUGAAGGGGGGCACACUGGACCUCAGCAAAGUCGUGACUUUGUUUAACAAAUAAAGAACUGGCUGCAGAGGCUCAGAACUCCAUGUGGCGUCUGAGGCAGACCUAGCGUGUGCUUCUCUGGUCUGCAAAGGAAUCAGACUGAUACCAAUAAAAGGAAACACAGUUGUGCUUUCCCAUAAAAUGGUGCACGGCAGCAGUGCACAGACCCUUCCCUGCAGCCGAGGGACCUAAAACAGUGAGGUGACACUUCUCCCGGUAGACCCAGUGGCUCGGGAGGAUGAGCUGACUGUGCCUCCGUCUCCUCACAGCAGCAG
rnacentral:lncRNA from 1 species